UACGAAGGGGGCUAGCGUUGCUCGGAAUCACUGGGCGUAAAGCGCACGUAGGCGGAUUGCUAAGUCAGGGGUGAAAUCCUGGAGCUCAACUCCAGAACUGCCUUUGAUACUGGCGACCUUGAGUCCGGGAGAGGUGAGUGGAACUGCGAGUGUAGAGGUGAAAUUCGUAGAUAUUCGCAAGAACACCAGUGGCGAAGGCGGCUCUCUGGAACGCAACUGACGCUGAGACGCGAAAGCGUGGGGAGCAAACAGG
rnacentral:rRNA from 1 species